rnacentral:rRNA from 1 species
GUGGGGAAUAUUGGACAAUGGGCGAAAGUCUGAUCCAGCCAUGCCGCGUGUGUGAAGAAGGUCUUCGGAUUGUAAAGCACUUUAAGUUGGGAGGAAGGGCAGUAAGUUAAUACCUUGCUGUUUUGACGUUACCAACAGAAUAAGCACCGGCUAACUUCGUGCCAGCAGCCGCGGUAAUACGAAGGGUGCAAGCGUUAAUCGGAAUUACUGGGCGUAAAGCUCGCGUAGGUGGUUUUGUAAGUUGGAGGUGAAAUCCCCGGGCUCAACCUGGGAACUGCCUACAAAACUGCAUGACUAGAGUACGGUAGAGGGUAGUGGAAUUUCCUGUGUAGCGGUGAAAUGCGUAGAUAUAGGAAGGAACACCAGUGGCGAAGGCGGCCAUCUGGACCAGCACUGACACUGAGGCACGAAAGCGUGGGGAGCAAACAGGAUUAGAAACCCGGGUAGUCC